rnacentral:ncRNA from 1 species
AAAAAAAGCCCCGCCGUAAAGGCGGGGAAGACAGGGAUGGUGUCUAUGGCAAGGAAAAAACAGGGGACUACUUUGUCG